CAGUAUUCCAUCCCAGACAUUGUUCAGAUGUCUCCUGCAUGUCGUGACCUGAUUUCUCGAAUUUUUGUUUUUGAUCCUGCAGCUAGGAUUACCAUUCCACAAAUCAAGAACCAUGAGUGGUUUCUGAAGAAUCUGCCGAUGGACCUAAUGGAUGAGAAGACAAUAGGCAACCAGUUUGAGGAGCCUGAGCAACCCAUGCAGAGCAUUGAUACCAUAAUGCAAAUAAUUUCUGAGGCCACCAUACCAGCUGCUGGGGCCCAUGACCUUAAUCGGUAUAUGGCAGACAACCUUGACAUGGAUGAUGACAUGCUGGACUUUGAUUCUGAAUCUGAGCUUGAUGUGGAUAGUAGCGGGGAGAUAGUUUAUGCACUGUAAUCACGGCAUUUCUUUACAAGAGGUGGUGGUUCUUCAGGCUUGUGGACAUAUCAAGAUCUAGUCAAAAAAAUGCAACCUAGAAUGUGCUAGGUUAGCAUAGAAAAACAGCUUAUGAAAGUGCAAUAUAUGCUUUGGGUCUGUCAUGCUCACAAUAUGAAUGUUCUGUUCCUUUCUGUGUGGAGGGAUUUCAUCUUAUUGCUUGAAAAGGGCUGGUAAGCGGUAUGAAUUCUCGAACUUGGGAUAUGCUCCUGUUGCCAUCCCGAUGAACUGACUAUUUAUUAUUUUUUUCACUGGUCCUGUGCUUUUUGUUUUUUACUGUUCUGGUAUAAAUUAUGUAUGCUUUAUGUAACAGUUGCUUAUAAAUUUUAAUAUAUAUUUUGC
rnacentral:misc_RNA from 1 species